rnacentral:lncRNA from 1 species
AGGCGCGGAGGGAAGUCCCUGCGGAAGGGGCUUUCGGAGCUGCAGUCGAAUCGCAGGGAAAGAGAAAGUGUUCGAAACGCUGCUUUGACACAGUGACCUUGUGUGAGCCCUAGCUGCACACACCCCCCCCACCCACGCCCUCCCCGCAGACAGCAGCACGCACACCCCCGGCCGGCUCACGGUACGCGGCCGCUGCCCGCACUCCCGGGUCGGGCCUGCGCGUCCCUGUGGGGUUGGGCGAGCGGGGUAUCGAGGGUCCAGCAGCCUGGACCCGGCCCCUCCACAGGGCAGUCCCUUUUCCAGCUUCCAAAAGCUAGCGUUGCUCACCUACUGCCAGACCCCAGACCCACUUCUCCCACGAGGUGUAAAGAAGGACCCCUGAGGGUCUUCCACGUCACCUUGUGGAGCCUCGUGGAGUAUGGCAGAAGGAGGAGGGCAAUUUGAGGUCCUGCAGCGCCCGGGGGAACCAGGGAUGAACUCCCUCCUGCCCCCAGGCUCUCCUCCUCAUCCUAGAAUCAAUCGAUGGGAUUCAGUUACAGAAAUAUUUAUUAAACACCGACUAUAUGCCAAGUUAUAAAAACCUGGGACAAGAUGGUAAACAAAGCAGGACAGUAAACAAAAUAUAUUAACCCCUGCCUUUCAGGAACUGGCAUUCUAGUUAGGUGAGGGAGAUGAUAAACAAAAAAUAAGCAAAUGAUCUAGGCUAGUGCUGCCCGAUAGAAAUAGAAGGGAAGCCAUGAAUGUAAUGUUUAAUUUUGUAGUAACCAUGUUAAGAUGGUAAAAAGAAACACAUGAAAUUAACUUUAAUUUUUUUUUUUGAGACCGAGUUUCGCUCUUGUUGCCCAGGCUGGAAUACAAUGAUGUCGACUCACCACAACCUCUGCCUCCUGAAUUCAAGCAAUUCCCCUGCCUCAGCCUCCCAAGUAGCUGGGAUUACAGGUAUUCACCACCACUCCUGACUAAUUUUGUAUUUUUGGUAGAGAUGGAGUUUCUCCAUGUUGGUCAGGCUGGUCUCGAACUCCCGACCUCAGGUGAUCCGCCCGCCUUGACCUCCCAAAGUGCUGGGAUUACAGGCGUGAGCCACCGCGCCUGGCCAAUUUUAAUUUUUUUUUUUAAGGAACCGGGUCUUCUUAAAGGGUUCCUUAAGGAACCAGGUCUCUACUUUGUGGUCCAGGCUGGAGUUCAGUGGUGCGAUCAUACCUCACUGCGGCCUCCAACUCCUGAUGCUCCUGCCUCAGCCUUCCAAAGCCCUGAGAUUACAGGCGUGAGCCACUGGGCUUGGCCAAAAUUAACUUUAAUAAUGUAUUCUAUUUAAUCCAAUAUAUCCAGAUGUUACCAUUUCAACAUGUAAUCAAUAUACAAAAAACUAUUGAGUUUUUCUUUUUCUUUUUUCUUGUACUAAGCCUUGUAAAUCCAGUGAGUACUUAUACUUCCAGCACAUUUCAGCUCAGCCUGAACACAUUCCCAGCACUCAGUGGCCACAUGUGCCUAAUGGCUAUAGCAAUGGGCAGCAGAGUCUUGAUGUUAGAUGUGGGCUGUGGAACAUAAGGAAAGUAGAGGCGGGCAAAGGGGCUGGGAUAGGAAGCGCUAAGUGGGGGUGGUCUGCCCUGGGCAGCCCUGACCGGGUGGUGAGGACAGGAGUCGGGCCACAGAUAAGACCUGCAGAUUACCUGCAAUCUGAAUCCAGGCUUGGCCACUGGCCUUCGCAAUUCACCUGACCUUGCUGAAUAAGGGCAUUUUCCUCCAGUGUGGAUUGGAGUUAUGCAUCUGAGGCUAUGAGGCACUCAUUAAAUGUUAUCCUUAUCUCACCUGUCUGCAACAGUAGGCAGGGCACAGGCCCCCAAUCUCAGAGUCACAUCCUUUCCACCCGCAACUCUUAUGGCCACCAAAGGCGGCCUAUGCCCCACCCCACCCCCAGACCCUCCAUCUUUUAUCCAUUUCUACUCCUUGCUACAGCAAGAUACUUAACCUUCUCAGGCUUCUGUUUCACUACGUAGUAGGUGCUUUAAGCUCUUCAAAGAAAAGCAUUGUAGACUUCCAGAAGACCAAGCCACCCUCUUAAGAUGGACCCAGGCCAAUGCUGAGGUGGGUGGGGCCAGCAGGUUCCAGGUGCCAACCCCACCACACCUCUUUGGGAACUGGGAGAAAAACCGGCCCUCUUUUCCGGAGGUUGCGGUGAGCCGAGAUCACGCCAUUGCACUCCAGCCUAGGCAACAAGAGCAAAAAUCUGUCUCAAAAAAAAAACGACUGGCCCUCUUUUCUGCCCACAACAGCCAUCCUACCCUCAAAGCCCCUUCCAGCCAAGGACAAAAAUGAUAUGAAAGGAUGCAUCUGAAAUGCGCACAGAUCCCAGGGAGCAGGGGUGGAGGAGAGGGCCCCAAGUCAAGAAGCUGCUUCGAGAGGAGCUGUUGAUCACUGUUAUACACUCCACCUCCACCUGGGCUGGUAGGCAACAGGCCCACAAACACAAGAGAAGUAUUGGGAUCAACAACCAGCCCUUCCUGGGGGACCUGUGGGACCAAGAUUGAGACUGCAGCAAGGCUGGAGGUGGGAGAUGAAAGCAGGCCCAGAAGUGCCCAGACAAGCAGCAGCAGGACCAGCCUUGGGAUGCAGACCCGCCCUUGCCCCUCACCAAAAGCCGGGGAUCUCAACAGGCCCCCUGUAUGAUGACACAGAAACCUGAAUGUCAGCAGCUUCUGCCUGACACUGCCCAUGGCGAGCUCCACUGCUCUUCCAGGGAGUCCCGGGCAGCUGCCAGCAGGGAAGGCCCUGGAGUUUCUCUACUCGCUAGCUUACCAGUCUCCCUUACAGAUCCCACCCCAGACUGCAAGGCAUGCCCAGUUCCCAGUAGCUGUAUUUCCCGCCAUCCAGCAGACCUCAGAGGGAAGGCAGGAGUUGGGAGGUGUCCCAGCCUGGGCUGGCCACCAGAUUCACGCUGCUCACCCUCUAGGCCACUCAGGUAUUCUAGAGACCCCCUAGUGGCUGGGUUCCUAGAAAGUAAGAAAAUAAAGAGGCUCCAACCCAAUUUAC